rnacentral:lncRNA from 1 species
UGAUCAUUGGGAGCCAAAAGAGCUAUGUGUACCCCUCUCCUGGAGGAAUGGAAUUGAUGGCAGCAAUAAAAAGUGUUUGGCAGCUCCCUGAUCAGCACAAAUACUUGUAAUACUCUGGCCUAUCCGAACACUCAACACAGGAUCACUUAAAGCUGUCUUCAAAUUCUUGUGUUCCUCCUGGAGCUGCAGAAAGCUAUGGAGUUUGGACAGCAUUAUAGCUGGGAUUAACUUCCAAGUUCCUUUGGGGUGCAUCACUUUCUCCGACUGCCUUUCCAACACGCCCAUUUCCCCUCUACACCAGCUACAAAUGAAGACCUGUAAACACAAAAGGCAAUGGUGAAGCCAUGAGUUUUGUCUGGUCAGCUUGAAGCAGGCCCUGUUUGCUUCCUGUAUCUCACUGUGUUCCUGGAACCAUAAUCAGGCCAGGAACCAAUUCCUGCAGCAAAAAGGUAAUGAGAAAAAGCUGUGCCUAACCCCAGAGGGAAGGAGAGAGACAACAGAGAUCACAUCAUGCUAUCGGUGUGCCACCAAACCGGCAAUUGAUGCUAGCGACAAACGGACACGGCAGAUAAAAUCGGAGUCACGCACUGAAGCCUGCCUCUGAAAAGGCUGUGCCUGCCUCUGAUGGAGACCCGGAGCUCUGCUUUCUCUUCGCACCACAACAACGAAUGUGCAGCUUAUCUCUCCCAGCAAAGCACUGAGCAGAACUGCGGGUGAGUGCUGCGCGGGGUGAGCGUGUGCGCAGGUCUGCGUGCUGGAGAACAUUUGUGCGCUCACCUGGGCGGGCAUGAGCGCCCCAGGAGCAUCUCUGUACCUGUGGGAAGCACAGGACUGGAGGUAUCAACCCCUUUGCACCUGCAGCUAGGAGUUAAUAGGAUUAGCCUGAGGUUUUAAAAGAGCUGCUGUUAAAGGCUUUUGUGUUAGCUGAACAUGUGGGUUACUCGUGGCACCUUGCUCUGCAUUCUGGGGGGUUCUGGGGGAAGGAAUCAGAGUGACCGUGUGUACUGAGGAGCUGCUAGAGGGUAUUAUCUUGCCACAGAUGGUGUCAUUCCUGCAAGUAAAGCAACCAAGGGGAACAGGAAUUGGACGUUGAGGUCACAGAAGGAAACAACAUGAGGCACCGCUUACACGCUGGGAGCAAAUAUUAAGGGAUACUAAGGUUUGACUCAUGAG